GAUGAACGCUGGCGGCGUGCCUAAUACAUGCAAGUCGAGCGAACAGACGAGGAGCUUGCUCCUCUGACGUUAGCGGCGGACGGGUGAGUAACACGUGGAUAACCUACCUAUAAGACUGGGAUAACUUCGGGAAGCCGGAGCUAAUACCGGAUAAUAUAUUGAACCGCAUGGUUCAAUAGUGAAAGACGGUUUUGCUGUCACUUAUAGAUGGAUCCGCGCCGCAUUAGCUAGUUGGUAAGGUAACGGCUUACCAAGGCGACGAUGCGUAGCCGACCUGAGAGGGUGAUCGGCCACACUGGAACUGAGACACGGUCCAGACUCCUACGGGAGGCAGCAGUAGGGAAUCUUCCGCAAUGGGCGAAAGCCUGACGGAGCAACGCCGCGUGAGUGAUGAAGGUCUUCGGAUCGUAAAACUCUGUUAUUAGGGAAGAACAAAUGUGUAAGUAACUAUGCACGUCUUGACGGUACCUAAUCAGAAAACCACGGCUAACUACGUG
rnacentral:rRNA from 1 species